rnacentral:rRNA from 1 species
AGCGAACGCUGGCGGCAGGCCUAACACAUGCAAGUCGAACGAACCUUUCGGGGUUAGUGGCGGACGGGUGAGUAACACGUGGGAACGUGCCUUUAGGUUCGGAAUAACUCAGGGAAACUUGUGCUAAUACCGAAUGUGCCCUUCGGGGGAAAGAUUAAUCGCCUUUAGAGCGGCCCGCGUCUGAUUAGCUAGUUGGUUGAGGUAAUGGCUCACCAAGGCGACGAUCAGUAGCUGGUCUGAGAGGAUGAUCAGCCACAUUGGGACUGAGACACGGCCCAAACUCCUACGGGAGGCAGCAGUGGGGAAUCUUGCGCAAUGGGCGAAAGCCUGACGCAGCGAUGCCGCGUGAAUGAUGAAGGUCUUAGGAUUGUAAAAUUCUUUCACCGGGGACGAUAAUGACGGUACCCGGAGAAGAAGCCCCGGCUAACUUCGUG